AGUGCGCUUUGCUUUCCCGGGGUCUGGGGCUAAUUCCUCCUCUCUUACCCAUAAACUCAGCUCCUCGAGCUCAAUACACAAAAGGGAGCGAGAAGGUCGAACCGUUGGAAAAAGUCUGUUAUAUAUAGUAGGUUUCGAGGCGAGUAAGAGAAAAAACAAUAAACACCACAGCUCUCUCCAGCUAGAAAUAUUAGGCACCACGAGAAAAAUAUUUGCCAAGCAGUUUUUCGCCCCACUUUUGAAAAAGCUGUUUUGAGGCUUUCAGAAUCAGGAGAGAUCCAAAGGGGCUGAUUAUUUUCCACGAGGGCUGGAGCUUAGGAAAUAUGCAAGCCUAUCUGAAGCCAGCUUGAUGGCAGGGAGAGCUGGAGAGCAGAAGAAUGUGCCGAGGGAGGGAGUGCUCGGUACUUUUCCAUUCACAUCUCCACAGUGGCUUUUCUUGUUUAUUUCAACCUCCACCCGCAGAACCCUUUCAGCUGCCUGAAAUCCGAGUCAUUAAACUGUUCCCUGAGGUCAGACCACAGAUGCUCGGUGCAUGAUUCCUACAUGUCGGUGUCUCUGUAACAUAUGUACAUACAGAGAUGUACGCAUAAACGUGCAACUCCGUGAGGGCACAGUGUGAGGCAGGGGAAAAAAAAAUGACUGGGUUUGUGGCCAAAAAACCUUGGUUUCUAAUUACAAUUCUGCCUGGAACUCCAUAUGGGACCUGGAGCAAAAUCACUUGUCAGGACUCAGUUUCCUCAACUGUGUGAAAGAAUAACCCAGAUGAUUUACAGGCUGUCUGUCUGUUCCAAAUCCUAUGCCUUUACAUCUAAAUACAUAUUCAUAUAACUUUAAGUUGGAGGUGGGUUGGAAAGGAGCUGUGUGUAUAUGUGUCCCUGGGGUGGGAGAAGGAGUUAAAAUGUAAACUUCUAAGUAAAGAGGGCAGUCCCAGAAUCCUCACCUCUAUCAAUUUUUAACCAAUUAUAGACCAAAGUCUGGGACUGUGUUGAGUAGGUCCAAAAGCCAUCUGAAGAUUUUAAAUGUUAAGAGUUGGAGGAGGCCAAUUCUAAGCCCUUGUACCUUUGAUCUCCAGAAUUCAUAAUCAGAUGUGACAGUUCCCAAGUGUCUUUUCUGCACUACAGUUCUCUUUUUUUUCUUCUUCUUCUUCCGUUUGUUUUUGGAAACUGUCCCAGUAAUGAUAGGAAGGAGUUGACACUUGUAAACUGGGCACUCUUUAAGCCACUGGGACCCACAGGGAUGUAAAAAAUAUCAUAAUAUUCACACACACACACACACAAGAAGAAGAAAAAGAAAAAAGAAGAAGGAAAAAAAAAAAAAAACCUAGAGAGAGAUUCCUGGUAAGAAACUUAGAGGUAGCUCACCCAUCACUGCAUUAAAGGUAAUUGUCUGAAGUCAAAGGAAAUAACAGAUAAGGAGUUUGCCCUUAUUUAAAAAAAAAAAGAAAAAAAAAGCUUGCUCUACCAGAACAAACUUGAAAACAAUGAAAGAGAAAUACUUUCUACCAAUAUUUCCUAUACUUUUAAAAUCUUUAUUCUUUAAAAAGAAAGGUCUGAAGUUUCUCAGGCCUGGUUGUCUAGACAUAAGAAGGCCUUUAACAGACGUCGGCAUCUUCAGGAAAUAAUCAAGUAGCUCCUGUUUAUUAGCAGUGAACUCCACCCCAGCACCAUCCCUCCCCUUACACCUUCUGGAGUAUUGAUGCCCACGUACAAGGAGAGAUGGAGCCAACUACAUUCUCUCAGUGGACAGCUAUUGAGAGUCAUAAUAUACCAGCACUGGGAGGCUCCUUAGCAAUUAUCUAAUUCAGCACUACUGAUUUCAUAUAUUUGGAAAUUGAGGCCCACACAGAAUGCACUUGCCACACACACUGGAUCAGACAGAGCCAGAUCCAGAGCUUUGACACCCUGAUUCUAAAUCCACUGCAUUUUCCAUGGCUUACCAUGAAAAGAGGAUAUAGGGUGGGCAGCCCUGCAAAAGGGCCAUUUGCUGAGGCCUUACAUUCAGAAAAGUUGCCACCUUUGGACUUUUGGCAUAAUCUCCACUGAGGUUGUGCAUCAGUCUUAGCAGUGCAGUGACAGGACGGAAGGGAGAAGACCAUCGUGCACAAGCUCUAGGUGUGGGUCCCAGUGUAGGAGCCCCCGCGGGCCCCUACAGUGCUGUGAUUUCAUACUGUUAACCAACCUUUACUUGUCUUAUGGAUGGUGCUACUGUAUUUUAAUUGUGUAUGUGUUGAUCUUCAAAUGUAAAAUGUAAUAUGUGUUUGGCCUAGAAGCAAUGUCGCUGCAGCAGCAAAGAGCACAGCUAGUGGCAGGUGCUGAUGUCUGACACCACUCUCCAGUAGUGGAGGGCAAGGCGUGGCUGCUUCUAGAUCUAGGGCAAGGGCAGCAAGUACAUAAAAUUAGAAUGGAACAUCUUGUAGCCCCGUAAAUAAGGAAUUGCUAAAAAACUAGCAAGCAAACAAAAGCUACAUCAAUGGGGGGUAUUUCAAAGAGACACUGGAGCCAUCGGAAGAGCUUCUAAUGGCCAAAACUGUAAAGUUUUGAGAAAAAAAAAUUAAAUUGAGUAAUAUUGGAUUAUAAUUCAAAGUAUAAAAUAAAUAUCCAUCCAUGAAUCUAUACUGAUAUAAAAAUUGAAUAAAUUAAUAAAUGGGAGAAAAGAGACAAUUCUUCCUAGCAGAAUUCCAAAUAACUUAUGUAGAUAGAUAUUUUUGUAAAUCCUACCCUCAAGGAUGGGGAGGAGUGGAUAAUUCCUCUUUCCUUAAGUGUGAGCUAUGCAUAGUGACUUCCUUCCAAAGAGGAGAGUCAGUAUGGGAAGGGAGGAAGGGAGGAUGAAAUAAUUUUAUGUGGAGAAACCUGACAAACACUACACCAGCCAAGUCAUCAAGGUCAACCUUAGCAAUUAUAAAUCAUGUUGAUUUCAUGUACCUUUGAUAUGAGAUGAUGGAAAAGGCUUUUUAGCUCUGUGGUCUUCCUCCCUUACCCCCUGCCUAUUUAUGAGAAGAGUAUUAGACAAAUUCCAACAGAGGAACAUCCAACAGAAUACUUCGCCAGUACUCCUCAGAACUGUCAAGGAAAGUCUGAGAAACUGCCACUGCCAGGAGUAGCCUAAGAAGAUGUGACCUCUUAGUGUUAAUGUAGUAUCCCAGAUGGGAUUGUGGAACAGAAAAAGACGUAAGGCAAACCUAGAUAAAUCUGAAUAAAUGAAGGAAUUUAGCUAAUAAUAUUGUAUCAGUAUUGUUUCAUUAAUUGUUACAAAUGUGCCAUAUGGGGGAGAAAGGACACAACUGAACUUAUUUACAAAACAGAAACAAACUCACAGAUACAGAAAACAAACUUACCACUAUAGAGGGGAGAGGGGAGAAGGAAUAAAUUGGGGGUUCAGGAUUUGCAGGUACUAAAUAUUAUAUAUAAAAUAGAUAAACAAUAAGGACCUACUGUAUAGCAAAUAGAA